UCGGGGCAUGGUGGUGCAUGCCUAUAAUCCCAGCAGCUUGGAAGGCUGAGACAGGAGGAUAGUUGAGUUUAGAGCCAGCCUCUGCAAUUUAGCGAGGCUCUAAGCAACUCAGUGAGACCCUGUCUCUA
rnacentral:sRNA from 1 species